AGUUGAAAAGCUUUUUGCUGUCAAACAGCUGUUUUAAUAAAAAUAAGCAAACAAAAAUGGACACACAAAUAGAUAAUCAGCAAAUGCGUACGAAAACGGAAAGGACAACUCAGGAGCAGAUGCAACAUUACGAAUGUUUUGCAAGCAGCAUCCUGAAUUGCAAUGGAGGAAGCUAACUCCGACCAACAAUCAAGGGCUGCAAAUACUUUGGUCGGAGUUAGCAGAUAAUUUAAAUACCUUAAGAGGUCCAACUCGGUCGGCAGCCAAGUGGAGGGAGUCCCUGAUGCAUUGGCACAUGCGCAAGCGACUGGUGCAGGCCCUCCGAUAAAUGGAAUGACUGAAUUCGAGGAGCAAGCAAUUACAAAUUUUGGGGCAGCAGCGGUGGAUGGAUUGCCGGGUAAUGAGACUUUGGGUCACCAGCUCAAGCACCAGCUUCCUCGCUAACACCAGCAGUCACAUCGCCUGCUCCAGCGCCCUCCCCAACAGUUGCAUCGCUUGCUUCAGCAGCCUCACCAACAAUCGCAUCGCCUGCUCCAGCUUUCCUGUUCUUUCUAUAAAUCUUUCUUCUUCACCAUCACCUCCAGAUUCUUUAUAUCCUCCCAUCUUAUCUUAUCCUAUGACAUCGCCUUUUUACAUCCCUUCUGAAAAAUUGACUGCAGCGAAGAUGCUUGGAGCACUGCCAAAAAAAAUGGAGGAUCGAGAGAAGCGAGAGGAGGAGACCAUUGCUCUGCAAAGGAAAAUURUAGAGCAAAAUGUGCAGAUGACAGGGGUGCUGAACCAAAUGACACAAGGCUAAAUUCUCUGAAAAAUUAA